GGCAGAGAAGUCUCUCUUGGGGUAGCAGGACGAGAGGGUGAACGCUGGUGUGUUCGAAUGUUCCUGUGAUUCCAGCCCUGAAAAGCAGAGGCCUGAGGUAAACUGGCUUCAUAAGAUGGAUGGGCAGUGCUGUGGCGCCUUGGUGGAGACUUGAGUCCACAAAUACUACUUCUCAUUGACCUAGAAACCCACUGUUCCAAGUAUGCUUUCUGGUCAGCAAGCUCUUACUAUCUGCCCAUCUCCAUCUGCCAAUAUAGAGAUUACAGUUGGUAAACAGAUAUCAACACCCAAUACAGCUAUGGCAGAGCUGAUGAUUGAACUCAGGACUUCUUGCAUUCUAGUCAAUUAGAAAAAUAGCUGAGCAGAACCAUGGACAGCCAGUCCAGGAAGUUGGUGGUGUGCAACAACGGCACUAGGUUUGUGAAGUGUGGAUAUGCAGGCUCUAACUUUCCAGAACAUAUCUUCAAGAACACAUCUUCCCAUCUUUGGUUGGAAGACCUAUUAUCAGAUCUACCACCAAAGUGGGAAACAUUGAAAUCAAAGAUCUCAUGGUUGGUGAUGAGGCAAGUGAAUUGCGCUCAAUGUUGGAAGUUAAUUACCCCAUGGAGAACGGCAUAGUACAAAAUUGGGAUGGCAUGAAACACCUGUGGGAUUACACAUUUGGACCAGAGAAACUCAACAUAGACACCAGAAACUGCAAAAUUUUACUCACAGAACCACCUAUGAAACCAACCAAAAACAGGGAGAAGAUGUAGCGAUCCAGGCAGUUCUGAGUUUCUAUGCUCAAGGUUUAUUGACUGGUGUAGUAAUAGACUCUGGAGAUGGUGUGACUCAUAUUUGCC
rnacentral:lncRNA from 1 species